rnacentral:rRNA from 1 species
GACGAACGCUGGCGGCGUGCUUAACACAUGCAAGUCGAACGCUGAAGCUCAGCUUUUGUUGGGUGGAUGAGUGGCGAACGGGUGAGUAACACGUGAGUAACCUGCCCCCUUCUUUGGGAUAACGCCCGGAAACGGGUGCUAAUACUGGAUAUUCACUGGUCUUCGCAUGGGGGUUGGUGGAAAGGGUUUUUCUGGUGGGGGAUGGGCUCGCGGCCUAUCAGCUUGUUGGUGGGGUGAUGGCCUACCAAGGCUUUGACGGGUAGCCGGCCUGAGAGGGUGACCGGUCACAUUGGGACUGAGAUACGGCCCAGAAUCCUACGGGAGGCGGCAGUGGGGAAUAUUGCACAAUGGGCGCAAGCCUGAUGCAGCGACGCCGCGUGAGGGAUGGAGGCCUUCGGGUUGUGAACCUCUUUCGCUCAUGGUCAAGCCGCAACAAUGGUUGUGGUGAGGGUAGUGGGUAAAGAAGCGCCGGCUAACUACGU